AUCUCUUCUCAGCCCUUUGGCCAAGAUCAAGGCUAGUAGCUGUUCUUUUAAGUUUAAAAUGCUGGACAUUUUGUAUAGCGUAGUGGAGACUGUAAAUAUUUUUUGUGCCAUGGUUAGCCUCAGUGCACUAAUGCAGAGUUUAAAAUUUCUCCGGCUUUGCCUGUGUUUAGGGCGAAGGCUGU